rnacentral:sRNA from 1 species
GCUGGGUGCGGUGGCGUGUGUUUGUAAUCCCAGCGGCUCUGGAGGCUGAGACUGGAGGAUUAUGAGUUCAAAGCCAGCCUCAGCAAUGGUGAGGUGCUAAGCAACUCAGUGAGACCCUGUCUCUA